rnacentral:rRNA from 1 species
CCUACGGGAGGCAGCAGUGAGGAAUAUUGGUCAAUGGGCGCGAGCCUGAACCAGCCAAGGAGCGUGAAGGAUGACUGCCCUACGGGUUGUAAACUUCUUUUAUAAAGGAAUAAAGUGAGGCACGUGUGCCUCUUUGUAUGUAUUUUAUGAAUAAGGAUCGGCUAACUCCGUGCCAGCAGCGGCGGUAAUACGGAGGAUCCGAGCGUUAUCCGGAUUUAUUUGGGUAAAAGUGAGCGUAGAUGGGUUGUUAAGUCAGUUGUGAAAGUUUGCGGCUCAACCGUAAAAUUGCAAUUGAUACUGGCAGCCUUGAGUACAGUUGAGGUAGGCGGAAUUCGUGGUGUAGCGGUGAAAUGCUGAGAUAUCACGAAGAACUCCGAUUGCGAAGGCAGCCUUCUAAACUGCCACUGACAUUGAUGCUCGAAAGUGUGGGUAUCAAACAGGAUUAGAUACCCUGGUAGUC